rnacentral:rRNA from 1 species
AUACGUAGGUGACAAGCGUUAUCCGGAUUUACUGGGCGUAAAGGGCGUGUAGGCGGUCUUGCAAGUCAGAAGUGAAAUUCCUGAGCUCAACUCGGGCGCUGCUUCUGAAACUGCAGGACUUGAGUGCUGGAGGGGAUAGCGGAAUUCCUAGUGGAGCGGUAAAAUGCGCAGAUAUUAGGAAGAACACCGGUGGCGAAGGCGGGUACCGGGACAGUAACUGGCGCUGAGGCGCGAAAGCGAGGGGAGAAAACAGGAUGUGAUACCCUGGGAGUCCACGCCGUAAACGAUGAAUACUAGGUGUAGGGGGUAUCGACUCCCCCUGUGCCGCAGUUAACACAAUAAGUAUUCCGCCUGGGGAGUGCGGCCGCAAGGUUGAAACUCAAAGGAAUUGAGGGGG